rnacentral:lncRNA from 1 species
AAGGAACUUACAGCAGAUGCUCCUAAAUCCACGAAGAUCACAUUUGGCGAUUCUGAUGAGGACUGAUGUGAUGACAGCUUAGGCCUUGUUCGUUUCUAUCGGAUUGGUAGGCCGGAACGAUUCCUAUCCGGAUUGCUUCUCUAAUUUAUAUAAACUUUGAUUAGCUGGAACGAUUCCGGGUGCAAUCCGACGGAAACGAACAAGGCCUUACUGAUUUUUCAUCCCUGCUGACGGAAGCUUGAUUUCUCCGUUGGUGAUGCUAUGGAUGUGAUCAGAUCAGCCAUUUGCAAGCUGAUUGCAGCCACGGAUGAGUAUUGUGGCAGUGGGCAAUCCC